rnacentral:rRNA from 1 species
AUGGCGACCACUAAGAUGGCGGUGGUGGCGAUCCUGGCGGCGCUGCUGCUGAUGGCAGCUGUGGAGCCGGCUUCGGCCACGCCGCCCAGCAUGCUGGCGGCAAGAAAGUUGCAGAUGCCUCGCCUCAUGGAUGUCGUCUUGGCAGAGUCAAAGCUGGCUUGCCUCCCAGCAGGCGGUUUUUGCAUGUUUCGUCCUAUGGAUUGCUGCGGUAACUGCGGUUGUUUAUAUCCUGCCGGGGUUUGCUACGGCACGCGGUGUGAGGAAUGA